GUGCCCACUUUGGCAUCACACAUACUAAAAUUUGAAUGAUACAGAGAAGAUUAGCAUGGCCCCUGUGCAAGGAUGACACAAAAUCAUGAAGCAUUCCCUAUUUAA
ensembl:snRNA U6 U6 spliceosomal RNA